rnacentral:rRNA from 1 species
GACGAACGCUGGCGGCGUGCUUAACACAUGCAAGUCGAACGGAAAGGCCCUGCUUUUGUGGGGUGCUCGAGUGGCGAACGGGUGAGUAACACGUGAGUAACCUGCCCUUGACUUUGGGAUAACUUCAGGAAACUGGGGCUAAUACCGGAUAGGAGCUCCUGCUGCAUGGUGGGGGUUGGAAAGUUUCGGCGGUUGGGGGUGGUAUCGCGGCUUAUCAGCUUGUUGGUGGGGUAGUGGCUUACCAAGGUUUUGACGGGUAGCCGGCCUGGGAGGGUGACCGGCCACAUUGGGACUGAGAUACGGCCCAGACUCCUACGGGAGGCAGCAGUGGGGAAUAUUGCACAAUGGGCGGAAGCCUGAUGCAGCAACGCCGCGUGCGGGAUGACGGCCUUCGGGUUGUAAACCGCUUUCGCCUGUGACGAAGCGUGAGUGACGGUAAUGGGUAAAGAAGCACCGGCUAACUACGUG